GAUCGGUAGCCAGCCUGAGAGGGCACACGGCCACACUGGCACUGAAACACGGGCCAGACUCCUACGGGAGGCAGCAGUGGGGAAUCUUGCACAAUGGGGGAAACCCUGAUGCAGCGACGCCGCGUGAGCGAUGAAGCCCUUCGGGGUGUAAAGCUCUUUCGUCAGGGACGAUAAUGACGGUACCUGGAGAAGCAGCUGCGGCUAACUACGUGCCAGCAGCCGCGGUAAUACGUAGGCAGCGAGCGUUGUUCGGAGUUACUGGGCGUAAAGGGUGUGUAGGCGGUUUUCUAAGUUUGGUGUGAAAUCUCCCGGCUCAACCGGGAGGGUGCGCCGAAAACUGGGAGACUAGAGUGCGGGAUGGGAGAGUAGAAUUCCUGGUGUAGCGGUGAAAUGCGUAGAUAUCAGGAGGAAUACCGGUGGUGUAGACGGCUCUCUGGACCGCCACUGACGCUGAGACACGAAAGCGUGGGUAGCAAACAGGAUUAGAUACCCUGGUAGUCCACGCCCUAAACGAUGCAUAUUUGGUGUAGGUCAUUCAGUUGAUCUGUGCCGGAGCUAACGCGUUAAAUAUGCCGCCUGGGGAGUACAGUCGCAAGGCUGAAACUCAAAGGAAUUGACGGGGGCCCGCACAAGCGGUGGAGCAUGUGGUUCAAUUCGACACAACGCGAAGAACCUUACCUGGGCUCGAACGGCUUCUCAACGAUCGUGGAAACACGGUUACUCCGCAAGGGGGUGGAGUCGAGGUGCUGCAUGGCUGUCGUCAGCUCGUGUCGUGAGAUGUUGGGUUAAGUCCCGCAACGAGCGCAACCCUUGUCCUGUGUUGCCAUCCCGCAAGGGGGGACUCGCAGGAGACCGCCAGCGAUAAGCUGGAGGAAGGUGGGGAUGACGUCAAGUCCUCAUGGCCUUUAUGUCCAGGGCUACACACGUGCUACAAUGGCCGGUACAAAGCGCAGCUAGCCGCGAGGUGGAGCCAAUCGCAAAAAACCGGUCUCAGUUCGGAUUGCAGGCUGCAACUCGCCUGCAUGAAGCUGGAAUCGCUAGUAAUGGCGUAUCAGAACGAUGCCGUGAAUACGUUCCCGGGCCUUGUACACACCGCCCGUCACAUCACGAAAGUGGGUUGUACUAGAAGUCUGCAGGCUGACCCGCAAGGGAGGCAGCGGCCCAAGGUAUGACUCAUGAUUGGGGUGAAGUCGUAACAAGGUA
rnacentral:rRNA from 1 species